AGCAGCCGCCGCGGUAAUACGGAGGGUGCAAGCGUUAAUCGGAAUUACUGGGCGUAAAGCGCACGCAGGCGGUCUGUCAAGUCGGAUGUGAAAUCCCCGGGCUCAACCUGGGAACUGCAUUCGAAACUGGCAGGCUAGAGUCUUGUAGAGGGGGGUAGAAUUCCAGGUGUAGCGGUGAAAUGCGUAGAGAUCUGGAGGAAUACCGGUGGCGAAGGCGGCCCCCUGGACAAAGACUGACGCUCAGGUGCGAAAGCGUGGGGAGCAAACAGGAUUAGAUACCCCUGUAGUCCCUGUCUCUUAUAC
rnacentral:rRNA from 1 species